rnacentral:rRNA from 1 species
AACGAACGCUGGCGGCAUGCCUAACACAUGCAAGUCGAACGAGACCUUCGGGUCUAGUGGCGCACGGGUGCGUAACGCGUGGGAACCUGCCCUUAGGUUCGGAAUAACUCCCCGAAAGGGGUGCUAAUACCGGAUAAUGUCUUCGGACCAAAGAUUUAUCGCCUUUGGAUGGGCCCGCGUUGGAUUAGCUAGUUGGUAGGGUAAAAGCCUACCAAGGCGACGAUCCAUAGCUGGUCUGAGAGGAUGAUCAGCCACACUGGGACUGAGACACGGCCCAGACUCCUACGGGAGGCAGGAGUGGGGAAUAUUGGACAAUGGGCGAAAGCCUGAUGCAGCAAUGCCGCGUGAGUGAUGAGGGGCUUAGGGUUGUAAAGCUCUUUUACCCGGGAUGAUAAUGACAGUACCGGGAGAAUAAGCGCCGGCUAACUCCGUG